rnacentral:rRNA from 1 species
GGCUCAGGAUUAACGCUGGCGGCGUGCCUAAUACAUGCAAGUCGAAUGGUAGUAGCAAUACAAACCAUGGCGAACGGGUGAGUAACACGUAGGUAACCUGUCUUUAAGACGAGGAUAACCAUUGGAAACGAUGGAUAAUACUGGAUAGGACAUCACAAAGGGCAUCCUUAGAUGUUUAAAGAUUAUUAUGUCACUUAGAGAGGGGCCUGCGGCGCAUUAGCUAGUUGGUGAGGUAAAAGCCCACCAAGGCGAUGAUGCGUAGCCGGACUGAGAGGUUGAACGGCCACAAUGGAACUGAGAACGGUCCAUACUCCUACGGGAGGCAGCAGUAGGGAAUUUUCGGCAAUGGGCGCAAGCCUGACCGAGCAACGCCGCGUGAACGAAGAAGUUAUUCGUAAUGUAAAGUUCUUUUAUCUGGGAAGAAAAAACAAAUUGACGGUACCAGAUGAAUAAGCUCCGGCUAACUACGUGCCAGCCGCCGC